UAUGUUAACCGUAGUUAUCAUCUAACUUGAAUUUUCUUUGCUCAGCCAAAAUUUUGAUGUUCAACUGAGCCUAACCCAGUUAAGAGCAGGAUGAAGAUCGAAUCCUUGUGAAUUUGAGAUGGGUUGCCCAAAUCAUAGCCCAUUUUCAGCUGCCUGGAACCUUUGACUUUGCGUGGACUCUUCUGGAUGAUAUACAUAUUACAUAUAUUCACAAAAACAAACAUUUCCAGGCAAAAUUAGCUUAGAAAUGGUAGUGGCCAGAUCAAUAGCGCUAAAAGCAGUGAAUACCGCCAGUUUAUGGGGUCUAAACAGGAGUCGUUUCGGGGGUUUGCCCAAGGUCCAAACCGUGAGGGCAUUGUCGACAAUCAUGUCUCCGCCGUCCAAGGCAGUCGUCUACGAGCACCACGGUCCACCCGACUCCGUCACCAGAAUGAUAGAGCUACCCCCAGUAGAAGUGCAGGAGAAUCAAGUUUGUGUUAAAAUGUUGGCUGCUCCCAUUAACCCCUCUGACAUUAACCGUAUUGAAGGAGUAUAUCCUGUGAGGCCACAGGUGCCAGCAGUUGGAGGCUAUGAAGGUGUUGGAGAAGUGUAUUCUGUUGGUUCUGCGGUUAAGGGUCUCUCCCCAGGCGAUUUGGUCAUUCCAUCUCCACCCUCCUCUGGAACAUGGCAGACUUAUGUUGUCAAAGACCACGACAUAUGGCAUAAAAUCAGUAAAGAUUCACCAAUUGAGUAUGCUGCAACAGUUACUGUUAAUCCUUUGACCGCUUUAAGAAUGCUCGAAGACUUCACUACUUUAAGCACAGGAGAUUCCAUCGUUCAAAAUGGGGCUACCAGCAUUGUGGGGCAAUGUGUAAUCCAGCUUGCAAGAUAUCGUGGCAUCCAUAGCAUUAGCAUUAUCCGGGACAGGGCUGGAUCGGAUGAAGUAAAAGAAAGGUUAAAAGCUCUUGGGGCUGAUGAAGUGUUUACCGAGAGCCAACUAGAAGUGAAGAAUGUUAAGAGCCUUUUGUCAAAUAUACCUGAACCUGCCCUGGGAUUGAACUGCGUCGGUGGACAUGCCGCUUCUUUGGUUCUCAAGUUCUUAAGUUUCAGGCAGGGAGGAACCAUGGUAACAUAUGGUGGAAUGUCCAAGAAGCCUGUCACCGUAUCAACUUCCUCAUUCAUUUUCAAGAUCCUCCUAUCUGUCUGCAGGAUCUUUCUUUAAGAGGAUUCUGGCUACAGAAAUGGUUAAGUGCUGAUAAAGCGAAAGAGUGCCGAGAUAUGGUGGAUUACCUUCUACGCCUGGCACAAGAGGGGAAGUUAAAAUACGAGAUGGAGUUGGUUCCAUUUGACAAAUUUCACAGUGCAUUGGAGAAGGCACUUGGGAAACAUGGGAGUCAACCAAAACAAGUUAUCAAAUUCUAAUCUUUACGUCCUUGUUCAUCAAUUCUGAAGGCGCUGAUGAAUGGAUUGUAUGUCUCUCUUUAUAAGGCUUUCCGUUUUCAAUCAGUGAUAGAAUCUAAAUGACUAGAAGUUGCCAAGAAUAAUAAUUAGUAUCAAAUAGGUUUUUAAGGUAUUCGUGUCAACUUUUCAUGUUCUGAUUCUUUUCCUUUUAACCAUGAUCUGUUUAUCAUUGAGGUUGAAAAGUGCACUAGAAAAAAUGCUUUUGAAAAGUCAAUUUAGUAUUGUUUUCAAAAAGUAUUUUUGAGAAGAUAAAAUGUAUAUUUUAAACAUAAAUUAGAAAA